CAACAGAUGAGCUUUCUCCACCAUCUCUUCCCAGUUCUUAGCCUGCAAAGGAAAAGAAUCCUAGUCUUGGAAGAUGAGAGUGCCAAAAGAUGAAGACAGGGGUCUGUGUUCCCACUGGCCACUGAGCCUUUGUGGGGUCUACUGGAUAUUCUAGAAGCUCAAACAGUUUUGUAGAAGAAAGAUGGUUGUGACGUUAGGGAAGAACUGUAGCAACAAUAAGCUAAAAGGUCUUUGAUUUAUCCACCUGUGAUAUUUUAUCUGAGGCGGAGUUGCAUUGUCUUCACAUUGCAUAGUGUCAGGAACUUCACAGGUCUGUAUGUGAUUGUUUCUGCUAGUGCAUAUUCUGUGUCCACUGCUGAUUUGCAUAGCAUCUGCUGUCACUUUGUGCUUUCUCUGUAGUUUUUUUGCAUACUUGACAGCUGCUUCAAUAGCACUUUGCCAUUGGAUUGGCUCUGAUGAGGAGAAGAUGUGACAUGUUCAGAUUCUGAUGACACAGCAAACUGCAAAUUACCCAUUGGCAAAAUGAAGUCUAUUGCUGGCAAAUAGUCUCUGGAAUUCCGUAAUAGGCAAUCUGGGCAUUGCAGUACUCCAGCUCAGCAGAUGCUGUUGUGUAUAACAGUUCCAUUUUCUAGUAGUCAGAGUGGUAAUCAGCCAUAGCAAGGUAUUCAUGACUGCCCACUGUAAACAAACACAUCCUUCCCUUCCUCCAAGCCACUCUGGUGAUUUCAUGAGCCUAGCAAGGUAAUGGUGGUGAUUGGCUUGAGGUAUUCUCAUUAUCUUUAUAAAUUAUGCAUUUAUAAUUCUCU
rnacentral:lncRNA from 12 species